rnacentral:rRNA from 1 species
UGAAAACUUAAAAUUUAAAGGACUUGACGGUACUUCACACCGACCUAGAGGAGCCUGUCUACUAACCGAUAAUCCACGACAACCCAACCCGCCCUGGCCCAACAGUCUAUAUACCGCCGUCGCCAGCCUGCCUUAUGAAAGAAACAGAGCGGACUCAAUAGUAAUCGCACUAACACGACAGGUCGAGGUGUAACUAAUGGGUGGGAACAAGAUGGGCUACAUUUUCUGGCCCAGAAAACACGAAUAAAUUAUGAAACUAAAAACUGAAGGCGGAUUUAGCAGUAAAUUAAGAACAAGAUACUUAACUGAAGCAAACGCAAUGAAGUGUGU